rnacentral:rRNA from 1 species
UACAGAGGGCUCAAGCGUUGUUCGGAUUCAUUGGGCGUAAAGGGUGCGUAGGCGGCGCGGUAAGUCGGGUGUGAAAUCUCGGGGCUUAACUCCGAAACUGCAUUCGAUACUGUCGUGCUUGAGGACUGGAGAGGAGACUGGAAUUUACGGUGUAGCGGUGAAAUGCGUAGAUAUCGUAAGGAAGACCAGUGGCGAAAGCGGGUCUCUGGACAGUUCCUGACGCUGAGGCACGAAGGCCAGGGGAGCAAACGGG